UGGUAUGACCAAAUCACCGUGAAUGCGCCCGACCUCGCCAGAUCUCGCAAGCUAAGCUUAGUUGAGCCUGGAGAGUGCUUGCAUGGUAACGAUUGACAUGCAUGGCGGGCGUUAUAGGCU
rnacentral:rRNA from 1 species